GUGGGGAAUUUUGGACAAUGGGCGCAAGCCUGAUCCAGCAAUGCCGCGUGCAGGAAGAAGGCCUUCGGGUUGUAAACUGCUUUUGUACGGAACGAAACGGUCCUGGCUAAUAUCCGGGGCUAAUGACGGUACCGUAAGAAUAAGCACCGGCUAAUUACGUGCCAGCAGCCGCGGUAAUACGUAGGGUGCGAGCGUUAAUCGGAAUUACUGGGCGUAAAGCGUGCGCAGGCGGUGCUGUAAGACAGGCGUGAAAUCCCCGGGCUCAACCUGGGAAUUGCGCUUGUGACUGCAGUGCUGGAGUGCGGCAGAGGGGGAUGGAAGUCCGCGUGUAGCAGUGAAAUGCGUAGAUAUGCGGAGGAACACCGAUGGCGAAGGCAAUCCCCUGGGCCUGCACUGACGCUCAUGCACGAAAGCGUGGGGAGCAAACAGGAUUAGAAACCCCUGUAGUCC
rnacentral:rRNA from 1 species